rnacentral:rRNA from 1 species
GACGUAGGGGGCCAGCGUUGUUCGGAAUUACUGGGUGUAAAGGGUUCGUAGGCGGUGUGGCAAGUCGGGAGUGAAAUCUCUGGGCCUCAACCCAGAGUCUGCUUCCGAAACUGCUGUGCUUGAGGACUGGAGAGGAGACUGGAAUUCAUGGUGUAGCAGUGAAAUGCGUAGAGAUCAUGAGGAAGACCAGUGGCGAAGGCGGGUCUCUGGACAGUUCCUGACACUGAGACACGAAGGCCAGGGGAGCAAACAGG